GGGGGGAUAUUGCACAAUGGGCGAAAGCCUGAUGCAGCGACGCCGCGUGGGGGAUGAAGGCUUUCGGGUUGUAAACCUCUUUCGCUAUCGAACAAGGCCCGCUUAGGGUGGGUUGAGGGUAGGUGGAGAAGAAGCGCCGGCUAACUACGUGCCAGCAGCCGCGGUAAUACGUAGGGCGCGAGCGUUGUCCGGACUCAUUGGGCGUAAAGGGCUUGUAGGCGGCUUGUUGCGCGUGCUGUGAAAACGCGGGGCUUAACUUCGCGCGUGCAGGGGGUACGGGCAGGCUUGAGUGUGGUAGGGAGGAGUGGAAUGCCAGGUGUAGCGGUGGAAUGCGCAGAUAUCUGGAGGAACACCGAUGGGGAAGGCAGGUCACUGGGCCAUUACUGACGCUGAGGAGCGAAAGCAUGGGUAGCGAACAGG
rnacentral:rRNA from 1 species